UGCAGGGCAGAGGAGAGCCAUCACCAAGCCCAGCAGACUACCAUAGACAAGCACACAGAAAUGAGCAGACAAGUUGGAAAGCCUGGAAGGGUGUAGUGAUGGUUUCAAGGCGACAAGGUUAGGACUAUGGAAACCAGGGUUGAAAUAAGAGGGCUGAUACUAAAGGUUGUGGAAUGAAGAGUCAGACAGGAUUUGCACGGCUCCCUGAAUGUUGGGGCAGAACAUGUCAUCCAUGGAAAUUGACUUAUUUUGUUCUACAAGGUGACCUGUGCAUCUGUAUAGAUGGAGAUUUUCUAAGCAACCGCCACCCUCCUAUCCCCCCCCCCCACCUUGAUGAAUGCAAAGACUCCUCACAAGGCUCCGUAUCUAUCCCGUGGCCCUGUAGACACAGAGGAGAAGGAAUGAUAUGGUUCCAGGAAGUGCCUGUGAACACUUUGGGAAGGCUCGAUGUCUCCGAAGGCAUCACGAGGCUUGGACAGACACAAGUGUGUACUGUGAAAGGACACUUCACAUCCCCAAAACACCAAGGCUUUCUGAAGGGGUCUUCAGUGUGGCUCUCCAGCAGCCCCUGCAUCAGAGUCUGUAAAAGGACUGGCUUUUACUCUGCUUAUCUUGCUGCCUUUAUUUAG
rnacentral:lncRNA from 1 species